GACGAACGCUGGCGGCGUGCUUAACACAUGCAAGUCGAACGGAAAGGCCCUGCUUUUGUGGGGUGCUCGAGUGGCGAACGGGUGAGUAACGCGUGAGUAACCUGCCCUUGACUUUGGGAUAACUUCAGGAAACUGGGGCUAAUACCGGAUAGGAGCUCCUGCUGCAUGGUGGGGGUUGGAAAGUUUCGGCGGUUGGGGAUGGACUCGCGGCUUAUCAGCUUGUUGGUGGGGUAGUGGCUUACCACGGCUUUGACGGGUAGCCGGCCUGAGAGGGUGACCGGCCACAUUGGGACUGAGAUACGGCCCAGACUCCUACGGGAGGCAGCAGUGGGGAAUAUUGCACAAUGGGCGGAAGCCUGAUGCAGCAACGCCGCGUGCGGGAUGACGGCCUUCGGGGUGUAAACCGCUUUCGCCUGUGACGAAGCGUGAGUGACGGUAAUGGGUAAAGAAGCACCGGCUAACUACGUG
rnacentral:rRNA from 1 species